UAUGUUGUUCAAUGGCAGCAUGAUAGCCCAUGAGUUUUAUCCAAAGUGUGAUUACUAUUAGUUGAAAACUUUACCCGAUACCCUGCCUUGAUGACUUGAAAUAUAGUCAGUUAUGGCAAUUUUUGAUAGCCUUCUUUAGG